UUUUACUCGCUUGAGUUUCAUUUCAUCAACAAAAUUUCAUUUUAGAUCUAGAUCCAAAGGCAGCUUGAAGAAGAUGAACUAAUCAACAAAGAAUCAUCUUUCUUCUGCUAGUUAGCUAGUAUCUCUCUCUAUUCAAAUUAAUAGCCUCCAAAUCUCACUUUUCCUUCUUCUUCUUCUUCUUCUUCUUCUUCUUCUUCUUCUUCUUCUUCAGUGGAGAUUAUUUAUCAAGACUCACUGAAGAAGCUAAAAGACUUUUCAUUCUCCUAGUUGUCGUCCAAGAUGGAUACAAAUAUUCAGCAACCGGACGAUACCAGCAAUGCUAUCAAUAAUCAAAAUUCAACAAGGGGAAAAGAAGGUUUUGUUUGGCGUCGAGAAAAAAAUCGGAAUUGAGCAAAGAAGAAAAGAAGAUGGAGGAGGAACGCACGAAGGACAACUUCGAUAGCUUGGAUGACAUAGUAAAUAUUGGAUUCACUCUAGCAGCAAUGGCGUUUUUUGGUAUCACGCUAACCAAUUUAAGAAG